rnacentral:rRNA from 1 species
CAGUAGCCGCGGGAAUACGUAGGGUGCGAGCGUUAAUCGGAAUUACUGGGCGUAAAGCGUGCGCAGGCGGUUGUGUAAGACAGGUGCGAAAUCCCCGGGCUCAACCUGGGAAUGGCAGUGGAUACUGGCUCGCUAGAGUGUGUCAGAGGAUGGUGGAAUUCCCGGUGUAGCGGUGAAAUGCGUAGAGAUCGGGAGGAACAUCAGUGGCGAAGGCGGCCAUCUGGGACAACACUGACGCUGAGGCACGAAAGCGUGGGGAGCAAACAGGAUUAGAGACCCGAGUAGUCCCUGUCUCUUAUAC